rnacentral:rRNA from 1 species
CAGCAGCCGCGGUAAUACGUAGGUGGCAAGCGUUGUCCGGAAUUAUUGGGCGUAAAGCGUGCGCAGGCGGUUGUGUAAGACAGGUGUGAAAUCCCCGGGCUCAACCGGGGAGGGUCAUUGGAAACUGGGAAACUUGAGUGCAGAAGAGGAGAGUGGAAUUCCACGUGUAGCGGUGAAAUGCGUAGAGAUGUGGAGGAACACCAGUGGCGAAGGCGACUCUCUGGUCUGUAACUGACGCUGAGGAGCGAAAGCGUGGGGAGCGAACAGGAUUAGAUACCCCCGUAGUCCCUGUCUCUUAUAC